rnacentral:rRNA from 1 species
UACAGAGGUCUCAAGCGUUGUUCGGAUUCAUUGGGCGUAAAGGGUGCGUAGGCGGCGCGGUAAGUCGGGUGUGAAAUCUUGGAGCUUAACUCCGAAACUGCAUUCGAUACUGCCGUGCUUGAGGACUGGAGAGGAGACUGGAAUUUACGGUGUAGCAGUGAAAUGCGUAGAUAUCGUGAAGGAAGACCAGUGGCGAAGGCGGGUCUCUGGACAGUUCCUGACACUGAGGCACGAAGGCCAGGGGAGCAAACGGG